CGGGAGCAGGACGCAGCUGUGUCCCUGGACCUCAUCUCUCCUCAGAGUGCCCCAUGCAGGGCAAGAAUGUCGUGGGGUAAGAAGGAGGGGGUUCUGAGCCUGCUGAAAGGUGAAGGUGUGGUGACCAAGCAGGGGGUCCACAGCAGGGCAGGCCCUGUGGCCUCAGGAUCAUGGCCUGGUACCAGGGAGCAAGAGUCUGGCAGUCCCAGGCUCAGCCUCCUCGCCCUACUUUGGGGGGAAUC
rnacentral:lncRNA from 10 species